rnacentral:rRNA from 1 species
UACGAAGGGGGGCUAGCGUUGCUCGGAAUCACUGGGCGUAAAGGGCGCGUAGGCGGCUUAUCAAGUCGGGGGUGAAAUCCCGGGGCUCAACCCCGGAACUGCAUUGGAUACUGCCUUGCUCGAGUACUGGAGAGGGAACUGGAAUUUACGGUGUAGCAGUGAAAUGCGUAGAGAUCGUAAGGAAGGCCAGUGGCGAAGGCGAGUUCCUGGACAGUUACUGACGCUGAGGCACGAAGGCCAGGGGAGCAAACGGG